ACAAGACGACGAGAGUAAUGGUAAUAUGCAGAGAAACAAGCGCAUGAUUGAAUCCAGAGCACUGCAGAAGGAAGACCAAGACUUUCAGCUACAUCAGAAACCCAAGGAAAGAAAGGAUUGUUGAUGAGGCAUGAAACUGGGUGACCUUGCUCGGAAUGUUUCUUGAUCAUCUGAGGAAUCGCUUGUUUCCCGGCAAGCUCAAGUUGAGAUAAGAAUUGGUCA
rnacentral:misc_RNA from 1 species